CGGGCGGGGUCGGGCGGGAGCUGCGGGCGCGCGGCUGGGGUCCGACGUCCUCUUUUAGCAGGCUGGCCGAGCAGCCGGGCAGACUGUGCUGCCCGCGGUUUGUGGGUCCGGCCGCAGCCGCUGCCAGGCACCUGUUUCUCUCUCCGUCCCGGAAUGGAGCCAAGACAAGGAAUAAAGGAAAUUAAAUAGUAUAUGGAGAUCGGGUGUCUGGGCAGCGUCUUGGAUAAAAAUCAUCCAUUACAGGCCUAUUAUUCUUACAUAAAACAACUUACCAGCAUCCAGAAGUUUUCUUACACGCAGAUAACUGAUGGUGAGCCUCAUAACAGAAGCCUUAUCAAGAUGUGAGCUCACAUUGUGGGGAAGUGGCAACUGAUGAGCAAGCUCAUAAAAAACUUCAGACUCUUUGCUUCGCCGAGAUCUGGCAGCAUCUCUAGACUUUUCUUUUCGACGUUCAGAACUUAUCCUACUUAACAAAAAAAAAAAAAAAAAAAAGAGGAAGAAAGAGACCAAAAGAUGUGUUAAUUGGUUGAAUAAAAUUAAUUUUACAUUUUUCUGCUUACCACACAAUUAAAAGAGGUCAUAUAAUUAAUUAUGAGACUUAUCUAUAGUCAGUAAACACUGUUAUACAAGGUGGCUAUACAAAUUUUGAAUUACUGCAAAACAAGUCUAAGAUCAAGCUUUAAACCUAUUCAGUUAGGUGGUUGGGCUGCUUUCUGUGACCUCUACAAGCUACAGGCUACAUGGGAAAGAUCCUAGGAGACCCUCAAGCUAUGCAAUGGUCUUCUUGGAGUUGGAAGAUGGCAGAUCAAUAAGCAGCAAAGUAAAAAGCCUCUCUGAGAGAAACAGCUCAGAUGGUGGAAUAUAGCAGCCUGGAGAAGACCAGAUGAAAGGAGAUGAAUCCUUUCAAUCCAGGAACAAACUAAAAUGAAGAAAAAAAAAAAAAAAAACAUGGACGAAAAGCUGUAGCCAGACGCACUCUCACUGGACCCCACUAUGUAGGAAACGCCACUGGAAUCUGAAGACUCAUGGUCAUGGUGAAGAUGGAGUUUGGCAGGCUUAAGGGUCUGCGGGGUGGGGGGGGGGGCAGGAAUGGUCACGGAGGGGAGUGGCACACUGGAGAUCUGCACCACCUUGUGCUGAGUGUGGGGAAUUCAGUUCUCCUGUAGGAGUGAGCAAUUGGGCAACAUUUUGGAGUCGGGUAGGAUAAGCCCAGAAUCAGAACUGCAGCGGCUUUAGACAGCUAUGCCUAGUGUAGAGCAGAUUGUUAAGAAUUGCUUGGAUUGAGUUCUGCCCCUGUCCGUGAUCCAGUAGCCAAGGAUGAGGUUUCCCUGAAGCUAUCCCUAACUGGCCCCAUCUGUGAGGCACACAUUAAUGUGGUGAAGGCUCCCAGUGGUUGACCAACUCAGCAGACUGGCAAGGGCAGCAGUCCCUAGCCAGAAGCUUCAGAGUAAUUGUAACCAAAAUAGGAAGUGCUUGGGAUCCAACUAUCUACUUGUCUGGAAGAAACCAGAAACAUGACAAGAGGAAGAAACAAAAGGAAGUCUCCAGCCUCCAACCCAAACAGUACUGGCCCAGGAGGGGUAAACACAGAAGAGACGGGGGGUUGCACACCUGCAAGAAGCAGCAUCUGACAAAAAGAAAUAUCUUCAUGACAUUAUAAGAAAACUAAAAAUAGAGAUUCUAAUACAAGUAAAGGAAGAUACAAGAAAAAUAAAUGCUAAGCACCUCUCAAGAAGACACAGAUGGAAGAAUGGAGGAGCACAGAAAAAGGAGGGAAACUCCUUUUUUCCUCCUUUUAAAAUGAAGAAUAUUAAAAAAUAUAUAGAAUACAUGAAACAGAUUCAAAGACUUUACCAGGAAAUUAAAAACUCCAUUGAAAGCUGGCAAAACUGCUUGAAAGAAACUAAAGAUAGACUAUCAAACCUUGAAGACAGGUUUGCAACGUGUGAUCAUGAAAGAUCUCAAAUAAGGAACUAGGAAGUAACAAUACAAAGACUAGAAGAUGACGAGAUCUAUAAUUUAAGAAUAAAAAAUGUGAGUGAAGAAGCAUGGGUAAACAAAAAUGAAAUACAAAGGCUAUUUACAGAAAUAAUUAAGACUUCCCAAGCUUAGGAAAAGGAAAUGAUAUUCAGAUAUAUGAGGCAUACAGAACUCCAGCCAGCUAUAACCAAAAUAGAUCUACACUCAGACUAAUUUCUCAACACAAACCAUCAAGAGCUUACAGUGAAGUAUUCCAAGCCCUGAAAGAAAACCUCCAACCCAGAUUGAUGUAUCCUGAAAAACUAUCAGAAUUAAUGGAGAAACCAAGAUGCUUCCAUGACAAAGAGGAAUUAAUAGGGCGAGUUCGUGAUCACCAAUUCAACCCUACAAAAAAUACUGAGUGAAGUCUAGAGAGACCAUGCAAACUCAGAAAAAGAAAAAAAAAAAAACUGACCAGAAAAAAAGACCAUGGCUUCAGAAACAGUAGCAGAGGGGGGCUCACUGAAUGGGGUAGACACUGGAAUGAAGGGGGGAAAGUAGACAGACAAUGGCAGAAAAAUAGGAUGGCAGAGGUAAGGCAGAGAAGGUGGGUUAAAAUCGCUAUCAUGAAUGGUCUUGAUAUAUUAAUAAAAACAGGUAGAGUGGAUCAGGAGAUAGGUUCCAUCAAGAUGCUCAAUAUAAUUAACGUGAAAAAGGGUUUAUGGACUGAAAGUCAAAGAUGAGAAAAUAAAGCUCUGUGUGACAGAACCAGAAAAAAAUGGGGUAGCUCACCUUUCAGCUGCAGAUUGGUUGGAAAGACGUAACACCUUUAUACAAUGGAGAACUACUUAGCUAUAAGGAAGGAAAACCUUGAGGCUGUUAUAGUAAAUGAGAUCAAGCUCAGGGGUAAGAAGGUUCAGAACUACCUAGGUAAAUAGCAGGUUGCCUCCCUAAUCUUAAAAACUAAAGGGGUUAGUGGGAUACCAAAUGUACAGUGUACCCUGUGAAAGUUGAAAGGGAAAGAAACUGUCUAAAAAGUGAAGGCAGAAGACACUGUUAAUCUUAUAUCACAAUUCGAAACCCAUACUGUUUUCACGGCUCUGUUUAGUUUGGUCAUAUUCUGUUCCAGUUUGUCUACUUGUACUAGAUUGGGGCAUAGACAGCUAUUCCAAAGAUAGCAGGAUAUACUACGGUAACCAUUUUUAAUUUCCUUUUAACUUAAGCUGAAGCCCUGCAUUGCUUUCAUGUCUUGUCUUGACUGAUUUUAUUUGAAUGUGUUACGUUUGAUAGUAUCAAGUCUGAGAGUAUAGGUAACUACUCUGAAGACAGUAAGAUUCACUAUGAUACGCAUUCUGGUUUGACUGUUACCCUCUUUUGAAGUCCUAUAAUGUCUCCAAUGUUUUUUUAUUGAUUUUGUUCUGUACUAUGUUCAAUUUUAUUGCAUGUGAUGAUAUGGGCAAUUCUAUUGAAGAUAACAAGAGACAUCAUGGUAACCAUUAUAGAUCACCUUGUAUUGUUUUAAGUCAUGUACUAUUGUCCAUCCUUUUGUUUUGAAUGACCCCAUUUUUCUUCUCAUUUGGUUUUAUUCUUUUCAAAAUAAAAUUUUUUUAAAAACCUG